ensembl:lncRNA
GCUAAGUAACGCACAGAAUGGUCGGGGGACGAUAAAGGCAGAACUUGAAGCAUUAGAUUAAAGAUACUCUCUCCUAAUUAUAAUUUUUACUAGUAACUCAUCAGCUGAAGCAGGUUUAUAGUGUAGCAGUUCACUGAAUGGUUUGUGAUUUGGUCUGAAAAAAUAUGUUAUUUGGAAAUGGAUCGAUACAAGCGCCAGAUUAGACUCCGUUGUGACCGUGGAUUACCUAUCAAACGAGAUACACCCGUGAAACCAGCGCUCACCAGACGAGACAAGCACAGGAAACUUCUAUUCCGCAAGCAUUAUGAAGCUUUUCCAGAAGAACCUGAGAGGGAAGUCACGAAUGACUCCACUGUCAAACCAAAGAGCCCAGUAUCUGCCAACACUGUACACCCCAAAUCUACUUUUAGCUUAAGCACACCUGCACUUACUGAAACUACCGGACACAAAGCAACCUUACCUGCCGUUCAGGUGACUGUAGUAAAGGCUCAUGAAGGUGAUGAAAUGUCGGGUAAAGAAGACGAGCAAAGCUUGGCAGUGACUCUGGAAAGCUUCACAUUAUCUAGCAUGGAGACUGACACAACUUUCAGCUCUGGUGACACAGAGGAUGAGGACUUUUUGACCUCCGCAACUUCUAACAAUCUUCCCUCUCCAGAGAUCUUCAGAAGAGAAAACCAGGUGGAAACCUUCAAUUUCUCCAUUGGGGAAGACCUGCUGGGUCUCCAUCGUCACAUAAAAAACUCCACUUUGUUGGAUGUCAGCCACGCUGAGAGCAUACACAUGCAUCAUCCCCCUAACCUUUCUACCAUCCUGGAUGCCUCCACUAUUCUUGCUGAAAAGACCUGUGAGAUCAGCAACAACAGAGAAGCCGGAUCUGCUGCUAAAAUACAAAAUGACUCGUUGAAAUCAGACAAAGCCUUGAAGAGGAAAACCCCACCAAGACUCAGCUACAGAAGACCUAUCUUGUGUAAGAAGAAGGUUUCAUUCAAAAGCCCUGUAAUUGCUGAGACCUUUGAUGGAAAAUGCAUCCCAGCUUCAAAGUUAAUGACUCACAGUCUCAACAAGCCAUUGCAAAUGUCCAGCCCACCUGAGGAUUUGAAGCCUGAUGCAGAGAUCGGCUCGGAAGAGGAAACAUUACCUCUGACCAUGUUGCUAAAAAGCUGUUUAGUGCACCGAACCAUCUUUCCUGCCACAUUUAAAGCUAGAAUAUCGCAUGCAUAAAACUCCGGCUUUACCCCCUCAUCUGGAUUAGAUUAGUCUAAUUGUAAAAAGUCCUAUAUAAAAAUGGUCUGUUAGUACUUAAAAGAAGGAGAGAAGAAUCGAUGGAACAAACUUUAAAUAACAUUUAAGUACUAAUUAAAGAGACAUGCUAGACUGGCGUUUAGGUUAAUAUGAAAAAAGUGUGAUGUGAAAUGACCACUAGAUGGCACAUAUGCAUUUACCUUGAAAAAACAUUGUCUGUCUUGUCCAUACAGUGAGCUUUUCCACCUUUAAAUAUGAUAUAUAUGUAUAUGUGUGUAUAUAUAUGUUUUUUGCUUGUUGUGCUUGUCUAUAUUUGUAUUUAUU